ACACAACUUUUAGUGAAGUCGUUCCGUUCUUGGUAAGUAAAUAAUUUCUGCAUCUUUCCAGUCGUUGUGGUACUUUGUAUCACAUGGUAAUAUUAAAAAAUUGGAGAUUAUUUAUGUCUACAGUACAAGGCCGUGUAAAAUGGUUCAAUGAAACGAAAGGCUUCGGCUUUAUCGAACAAGAUGGUGGCAAAGAUGUUUUUGUUCACUUUAGCGCAAUCCAAGGUCAAGGUUUCAAAACUCUUGAAGAAGGACAAAAAGUAGAAUUUGAUGUUGAAGACGGACAGAAAGGUCCUCAAGCUGUAAACCUUACAGUUCUUUAAGAGCAUUUCUUUUUUAUAAAAAAGCCCCGUAUCAUUGAUGCGGGGCUUUUU
rnacentral:sRNA from 1 species